AAGUCGUAACAAGGUUUCCGUAGGUGAACCUGCGGAAGGAUCAUUAGUGAAUGAAACCUUUGGUUUCAAACACCGUUGCAUUUCAGCUGUGCGCUCUCGGGCUGCACGCUGCAAUGUGACAUAUUCACAAUACACCUGUGCACCUUUCAGAUGUCUGGGGUUGAAAAGCCCCGGCGUUUGCCCUUCACACAAAAUACAGUCUUUGAAUGUCUUAAAAUCAUAUAAAUACAACUUUCAACAACGGAUCUCUUGGCUCUCGCAUCGAUGAAGAACGCAGCGAAAUGCGAUAAGUAAUGUGAAUUGCAGAAUUCAGUGAAUCAUCGAAUCUUUGAACGCACCUUGCGCCCCAUGGUAUUCCAUGGAGCAUGCCUGUUUGAGUGUCACGUGAAACCAUCACUCUCUUCGUGUCGUAAGACGCGUUGAGACGUGGAUUUGGACUGUGCCGUAGUUGGCUCGUCUUGAAAUGCAUUAGCCGUGCUGGUUAGAUUCGGCCACCUGGUGUGAUAAACAUCUACGCCUACCGUGCUGUUUCUUCCUGAGCAUGGCUCAUAAUCGUCGCUCGUUCGACAACACAAUUAACGCUCUGGCCUCAAAUCAGGUAGGACUACCCGCUGAACUUAAGCAUAUCAAUAAGCGGAGGGAAAGAAACUAACAAGGAUUCCCCUAGUAACGGCGAGUGAAGCGGGAAAAGCUCAAAUUUAAAAUCUGGCGGUCUAAGGCCGUCCGAGUUGUAGUUUAGAGAGGCGUCUUCCGCGUCGGACCAUGUACAAGUCCCUUGGAAUGGGGCGUCAUAGAGGGUGAGAAUCCCGUUCAUGACAUGGACUGCCGGUGCUAUGUGAUGCGCCCUCGAAGAGUCGAGUUGUUUGGGAAUGCAGCUCAAAAUGGGUGGUAAAUUCCAUCUAAAGCUAAAUACAGGCGAGAGACCGAUAGCGAACAAGUACCGUGAGGGAAAGAUGAAAAGAACUUUGAAAAGAGAGUUAAACAGUACGUGAAAUUGUUGAAAGGGAAACGCUUGGAGUCAGUCGCGUCGUCUGGGACUCAGCCUUGCUUUUGCUUGGUGUACUUUCCAGUCGACGGGCCAGCAUCAGUUUCGGUCGUUGGAUAAGGGCUUGGGGAAUGUGGCACCUUCGGGUGUGUUAUAGCCCCUUGUCGUACACUGCGACUGGGACUGAGGAAUGCAGCACGCCUUUUUGGUCGGGGUUCGCCCACGCCACGUGCUUCGGAUGCUGGCGUAAUGGCUUUAAACGACC
rnacentral:rRNA from 1 species